UCCGUAGGGAGCAAGCGUUGUCCGGAAUCAUUGGGCGUAAAGCGCGCGUAGGUGGCCUCAUAAGUCCGCUGUGAAAGUCAAAGGCUCAACCUUUGAAAGCCGGUGGAUACUGUGAGGCUAGAGUACGGAAGAGGCGAGUGGAAUUCCUGGUGUAGCGGUGGAAUGCGCAGAUAUCAGGAGGAACACCAAUAGCGAAGGCAGCUCGCUGGGACGUUACUGACACUGAGGCGCGAAAGCGUGGGGAGCGAACAGG
rnacentral:rRNA from 1 species